CCGCACGAAGCGGUGAGCAUGUGGUUUAAUUCGAAGCAACGCGAAGAACCUUACAGGUCUUGACAUCCGAUGCUAUUCUAGAGAUAGAAAGUUACUUCGGUACAUCGGUGACAGGUGGUGCAUGGUUGUCGUCAGCUCGUGUCGUGAGAUGUUGGGUUAAGUCCCGUAACGAGCGCAACCCCUAUUGUUAGUUGCCAUCAUUCAGUUGGGCACUCUAGCGAGACUGCCGGUAAUAAACCGGAGGAAGGUGGGGAUGACGUCAAAUCAUCAUGCCCCUUAUGACCUGGGCUACACACGUGCUACAAUGGUUGGUACAACGAGUUGCGAGUCGGUGACGGCGAGCUAAAUCUCUUAAAGCCAAUCUCAGUUCGGAUUGUAGGCUGCAACUCGCCUACAUGAAGUCGGAAUCGCUAGUAAUCGCGGAUCAGCACGCCGCGGUGAAUACGUUCCCGGGCCUU
rnacentral:rRNA from 1 species